AGAGUUUGAUCAUGGCUCAGAGCGAACGCUGGCGGCAGGCUUAACACAUGCAAGUCGAGCGGGUGUAGCAAUACAUCAGCGGCAGACGGGUGAGUAACGCGUGGGAACGUACCUUUUGGUUCGGAACAACCCAGGGAAACUUGGACUAAUACCGGAUAAGCCCUUACGGGGAAAGAUUUAUCGCCGAAAGAUCGGCCCGCGUCUGAUUAGCUAGUUGGUGAGGUAAUGGCUCACCAAGGCGACGAUCAGUAGCUGGUCUGAGAGGAUGAUCAGCCACAUUGGGACUGAGACACGGCCCAAACUCCUACGGGAGGCAGCAGUGGGGAAUAUUGGACAAUGGGCGCAAGCCUGAUCCAGCCAUGCCGCGUGAGUGAUGAAGGCCCUAGGGUUGUAAAGCUCUUUUGUGCGGGAAGAUAAUGACGGUACCGCAAGAAUAAGCCCCGGCUAACUUCGUGCCAGCAGCCGCGGUAAUACGAAGGGGGCUAGCGUUGCUCGGAAUCACUGGGCGUAAAGGGUGCGUAGGCGGGUCUUUAAGUCAGGGGUGAAAUCCUGGAGCUCAACUCCAGAACUGCCUUUGAUACUGAAGAUCUUGAGUUCGGGAGAGGUGAGUGGAACUGCGAGUGUAGAGGUGAAAUUCGUAGAUAUUCGCAAGAACACCAGUGGCGAAGGCGGCUCACUGGCCCGAUACUGACGCUGAGGCACGAAAGCGUGGGGAGCAAACAGGAUUAGAUACCCCCGUAGUCC
rnacentral:rRNA from 1 species